GAUGAACGCUGGCGGCGUGCCUAAUACAUGCAAGUCGAGCGAACGGAAGAGAAGCUUGCUUUUCUGAUGUUAGCGGCGGACGGGUGAGUAACACGUGGAUAACCUACCUAUAAGACUGGGAUAACUUCGGGAAACCGGAGCUAAUACCGGAUAAUAUUUUGAACCGCAUGGUUCAAAAGUGAAAGACGGUCUUGCUGUCACUUAUAGAUGGAUCCGCGCUGCAUUAGCUAGUUGGUAAGGUAACGGCUUACCAAGGCAACGAUGCAUAGCCGACCUGAGAGGGUGAUCGGCCAAACUGGAACUGAGACACGGAAAAGACAACUACGGGAGGAAGCAGUAGGGAAUAUUACGAAAUGGGCGAAAGCAUGACGGAGCAAAGCCGCGUGAGGGAUGAAGGACUUCGGAUCGUAAAACUAUGUUAUUAGGGAAGAACAUAUGUGUAAGUAAAUGUGAACAGCUUGACGGUACCUAAUCAGAAAGCCACGGCUAACUACGUG
rnacentral:rRNA from 1 species